CGGACGAGAAGCUUGCUUCUCUGAUGUUAGCGGCGGACGGGUGAGUAACACGUGGAUAACCUACCUAUAAGACUGGGAUAACUUCGGGAAACCGGAGCUAAUACCGGAUAAUAUUUUGAACCGCAUGGUUCAAAAGUGAAAGACGGUCUUGCUGUCACUUAUAGAUGGAUCCGCGCUGCAUUAGCUAGUUGGUAAGGUAACGGCUUACCAAGGCAACGAUGCAUAGCCGACCUGAGAGGGUGAUCGGCCACACUGGAACUGAGACACGGUCCAGACUCCUACGGGAGGCAGCAGUAGGGAAUCUUCCGCAAUGGGCGAAAGCCUGACGGAGCAACGCCGCGUGAGUGAUGAAGGUCUUCGGAUCGUAAAACUCUGUUAUUAGGGAAGAACAUAUGUGUAAGUAACUGUGCACAUCUUGACGGUACCUAAUCAGAAAGCCACGGCUAACUACGUGCCAGCAGCCGCGGUAAUACGUAGGUGGCAAGCGUUAUCCGGAAUUAUUGGGCGUAAA
rnacentral:rRNA from 1 species